rnacentral:rRNA from 1 species
CCGAAUGGGGAAACCCAGUGUGAUUCGUCACACUAUCAUUAACUGAAUCCAUAGGUUAAUGAGGCGAACCGGGGGAACUGAAACAUCUAAGUACCCCGAGGAAAAGAAAUCAACCGAGAUUCCCCCAGUAGCGGCGAGCGAACGGGGAGGAGCCCAGAGCCUGAAUCAGCAUGUGUGUUAGUGGAAGCGUCUGGAAAGGCGCGCGAUACAGGGUGACAGCCCCGUACACAAAAGCGCAUGUGCUGUGAGCUCGAUGAGUAGGGCGGGACACGUGGUAUCCUGUCUGAAUAUGGGGGGACCAUCCUCCAAGGCUAAAUACUCCUGACUGACCGAUAGUGAACCAGUACCGUGAGGGAAAGGCGAAAAGAACCCCGGCGAGGGGAGUGAAAAAGAACCUGAAACCGUGUACGUACAAGCAGUGGGAGCACCCUUUUGGGUGUGACUGCGUACCUUUUGUAUAAUGGGUCAGCGACUUAUAUUCUGUAGCAAGGUUAACCGCAUAGGGGAGCCGGAGGGAAACCGAGUCUUAAUUGGGCGUUAAGUUGCAGGGUAUAGACCCGAAACCCGGUGAUCUAGCCAUGGGCAGGUUGAAGGUUGGGUAACACUAACUGGAGGACCGAACCGACUAAUGUUGAAAAAUUAGCGGAUGACCUGUGGCUGGGGGUGAAAGGCCAAUCAAACCGGGAGAUAGCUGGUUCUCCCCGAAAGCUAUUUAGGUAGCGCCUCGUGAAUUCAUCUCCGGGGGUAGAGCACUGUUUCGGCUAGGGGGCCAUCCCGGCUUACCAACCCGAUGCAAACUGCGAAUACCGGAGAAUGUUAUCACGGGAGACACACGGCGGGUGCUAACGUCCGUCGUGAAGAGGGAAACAACCCAGACCGCCAGCUAAGGUCCCAAAGUCAUGGUUAAGUGGGAAACGAUGUGGGAAGGCCCAGACAGCCAGGAUGUUGGCUUAGAAGCAGCCAUCAUUUAAAGAAAGCGUAAUAGCUCACUGGUCGAGUCGGCCUGCGCGGAAGAUGUAACGGGGCUAAACCAUGCACCGAAGCUGCGGCAGCGA